AACCUGCCCAAGAGAUCGGGAUAACACCUGGAAACAGAUGCUAAUACCGGAUAACAAUAGAUGAUGCCUAUCAACUGUUUAAAAGAUGGUUCUGCUAUCACUCUUGGAUGGACCUGCGGUGCAUUAGCUAGUUGGUAGGGUAACGGCCUACCAAGGCGAUGAUGCAUAGCCGAGUUGAGAGACUGAUCGGCCACAUUGGGACUGAGCACGGCCCAAACUCCUACGGGAGGCAGCAG
rnacentral:rRNA from 1 species